rnacentral:rRNA from 1 species
GUGGGGAAUCUUGGACAAUGGGGGCAACCCUGAUCCAGCCAUGCCGCGUGAGUGAUGAAGGCCCUAGGGUCGUAAAGCUCUUUCGCCUGUGAAGAUAAUGACUGUAGCAGGUAAAGAAACCCCGGCUAACUCCGUGCCAGCAGCCGCGGUAAUACGGAGGGGGUUAGCGUUGUUCGGAAUUACUGGGCGUAAAGCGCGCGUAGGCGGACUGGAAAGUUGGGGGUGAAAUCCCAGGGCUCAACCCUGGAACUGCCUCCAAAACUAUCAGUCUAGAGUUCGAGAGAGGUGAGUGGAAUUCCGAGUGUAGAGGUGAAAUUCGUAGAUAUUCGGAGGAACACCAGUGGCGAAGGCGGCUCACUGGCUCGAUACUGACGCUGAGGUGCGAAAGUGUGGGGAGCAAACAGGAUUAGAAACCCCAGUAGUCC